GUCAUAUACCAGGAGGUAUCAACAAUCACCAAGCUCUCGUGCAUUAACUACCUGUUUCACCUCCAUUGAGGAUAUGUCUCAGGUCAAUAAUUGGAUCUAUGAAACCUGGCUGUGAUAAAUACCAAGGAAUUCUAUGCCAGUUCACAGCAGUAAGAGUGCAGAAGUGCCAGAAGCUGAUGUGCCCAAGAACUGAGCCCAAGUCUUAGCACAAGAUCUCCAUCCAUCAAAUAACUGUAAUUUAUCACCCAGACUGAGACAUUUCUGAGAGUGAAAGGGAG
rnacentral:lncRNA from 10 species